rnacentral:rRNA from 2 species
GCGGAAGAUGUAACGGGGCUAAACCAUGCACCGAAGCUGCGGCAGCGACACUGUGUGUUGUUGGGUAGGGGAGCGUUCUGUAAGCCUGUGAAGGUGUGUCGUGAGGCAUGCUGGAGGUAUCAGAAGUGCGAAUGCUGACAUAAGUAACGAUAAAGCGGGUGAAAAGCCCGCUCGCCGGAAGACCAAGGGUUCCUGUCCAACGUUAAUCGGGGCAGGGUGAGUCGACCCCUAAGGCGAGGCCGAAAGGCGUAGUCGAUGGGAAACGGGUUAAUAUUCCCGUACUUGGUGUUACUGCGAAGGGGGGACGGAGAAGGCUAUGUUGGCCGGGCGACGGUUGUCCCGGUUUAAGCGUGUAGGUGUGUGUUCCAGGUAAAUCCGGUUCACUUUAACACUGAGGCGUGACGACGAGGCACUACGGUGCUGAAGCAACAAAUGCCCUGCUUCCAGGAAAAGCCUCUAAGCAUCAGGUAACAUCAAAUCGUACCCCAAACCGACACAGGUGGUCAGGUAGAGAAUACCAAGGCGCUUGAGAGAACUCGGGUGAAGGAACUAGGCAAAAUGGUGCCGUAACUUCGGGAGAAGGCACGCUGACACGUAGGUGAAGUGAUUUACUCAUGGAGCUGAAGUCAGUCGAAGAUACCAGCUGGCUGCAACUGUUUAUUAAAAACACAGCACUGUGCAAACACGAAAGUGGACGUAUACGGUGUGACGCCUGCCCGGUGCCGGAAGGUUAAUUGAUGGGGUCAGCGCAAGCGAAGCUCCUGAUCGAAGCCCCGGUAAACGGCGGCCGUAACUAUAACGGUCCUAAGGUAGCGAAAUUCCUUGUCGGGUAAGUUCCGACCUGCACGAAUGGCGUAAUGAUGGCCAGGCUGUCUCCACCCGAGACUCAGUGAAAUUGAACUCGCUGUGAAGAUGCAGUGUACCCGCGGCAAGACGGAAAGACCCCGUGAACCUUUACUAUAGCUUGACACUGAACAUUGAGCCUUGAUGUGUAGGAUAGGUGGGAGGCUUUGAAGUGUGGACGCCAGUCUGCAUGGAGCCGACCUUGAAAUACCACCCUUUAAUGUUUGAUGUUCUAACGUGGACCCGUUACCCGGGUUGCGGACAGUGUCUGGUGGGUAGUUUGACUGGGGCGGUCUCCUCCUAAAGAGUAACGGAGGAGCACGAAGGUUGGCUAAUCCUGGUCGGACAUCAGGAGGUUAGUGCAAUGGCAUAAGCCAGCUUGACUGCGAGCGUGACGGCGCGAGCAGGUGCGAAAGCAGGUCAUAGUGAUCCGGUGGUUCUGAAUGGAAGGGCCAUCGCUCAACGGAUAAAAGGUACUCCGGGGAUAACAGGCUGAUACCGCCCAAGAGUUCAUAUCGACGGCGGUGUUUGGCACCUCGAUGUCGGCUCAUCACAUCCUGGGGCUGAAGUAGGUCCCAAGGGUAUGGCUGUUCGCCAUUUAAAGUGGUACGCGAGCUGGGUUUAGAACGUCGUGAGACAGUUCGGUCCCUAUCUGCCGUGGGCGCUGGAGAACUGAGGGGGGCUGCUCCUAGUACGAGAGGACCGGAGUGGACGCAUCACUGGUGUUCGGGUUGUCAUGCCAAUGGCACUGCCCGGUAGCUAAAUGCGGAAGAGAUAAGUGCUGAAAGCAUCUAAGCACGAAACUUGCCCCGA